UACGAAGGGUGCAAGCGUUGUUCGGAAUGACUGGGCGUAAAGCGCGCGCAUGCGGGAUCAUAAGUCGGACGUGAAAUCCCUAGGCUUAACCUAGGACGUGCGUUCGAAACUGCGAUUCUUGAAUGCCUGAGAGGGUGAUAGAAUUCUAGGUGUAGGAGUGAAAUCCGUAGAUAUCUAGAGGAAUACCAGAGGCGAAGGCGGUCACCUGGCAGGACAUUGACGCUGAGGCGCGAAAGUGUGGGGAGCAAACAGG
rnacentral:rRNA from 1 species